GGUGGGUAAACUUUAUUUUAUGACAGGCCUCUAAAUGGUAUGAAAACCUAACAUCUUUGUGCUAUAAAAGGCACAGAAGAUGCUGUAAUAGCUUCUGAAGUUCUGCUCCUUCCCAGGAUCUAAGCAGCACAGGCUGAAGGUGCAUGCACAUCGAAGCCCUUUUACCCUAACCUGCUAAGGGCAGAGGCUGCAGGCUCCUAUCCCUUCUGGCCUGGCAUAUUCACUGCUAUAUCUAUGUGGCAAAAAUUACUCUUGAUUUGCUAUUUUGCAUGAAGAGCAUUACUGAAAGGUCAUUGUAUUGAUGUAAUGUAAUGUAUUGACAUGGACAGUAUUUUCCUGCCCAAGACCUUGGAGAAGGCAGGACCUCUGCACCAUGCUGGUUCUGGCAAGCCAGGUCCUCAGCAGCAAAACCUACAAUUCUCCAUGGCUGUACUUCCCCCCUUUUUCUCUCCCUGGAGGCUGCCCACAGCUCUGACAAGAUGCCACAAGUUAUUGCCUCCUCCCAGCACCCUGGAUGGAACCAUAAGCUGUUGUACUGUCAAACGUGCUUUUUGCUCAUGA
rnacentral:lncRNA from 14 species